CCUACGGGCGGCAGCAGUGAGGAAUAUUGGUCAAUGGGCGCGAGUCUGAACCAGCCAAGUAGCGUGAAGGAUGACUGCCCUACGGGUUGUAAACUUCUUUUAUAAAGGAAUAAAGUGAUGCACGUGUGCCUUUUUGUAUGUACUUUAUGAAUAAGGAUCGGCUAACUCCGUGCCAGCAGCCGCGGUAAUACGGAGGAUCCGAGCGUUAUCCGGAUUUAUUGGGUUUAAAGGGAGCGUAGAUGGGUUGUUAAGUCAGUUGUGAAAGUUUGCGGCUCAACCGUAAAAUUGCAAUUGAUACUGGCAGCCUUGAGUACAGUAGAGGUAGGCGGAAUUCGUGGUGUAGCGGUGAAAUGCUUAGAUAUCACGAAGAACUCCGAUUGCGAAGGCAGCCUACUAAACUGCCACUGACAUUGAGGCUCGAAAGUGUGGGUAUCAAACAGGAUUAGAUACCCGGGUAGUC
rnacentral:rRNA from 1 species